rnacentral:rRNA from 1 species
UACGUAGGGUGCGAGCGUUGUCCGGAAUUACUGGGCGUAAAGAGCUCGUAGGUGGUUUGUCGCGUUGUUCGUGAAAACCGGGGGCUUAACCCUCGGCGUGCGGGCGAUACGGGCAGACUUGAGUACUGCAGGGGAGACUGGAAUUCCUGGUGUAGCGGUGGAAUGCGCAGAUAUCAGGAGGAACACCGGUGGCGAAGGCGGGUCUCUGGGCCGAUACUGACACUGAGGAGCGAAAGCGUGGGGAGCGAACAGG